rnacentral:rRNA from 1 species
CGAGUGCCCGUAAAUUCGGGCUGUCCGCCAGUGUAAAUAACUGGUGAAGAAAGGGCCGGGCAAGACCGGUGCCAGCCGCCGCGGUAAUACCGGCGGCUCGAGUGGUGGCCACUAUUACUGGGCUUAAAGCGUCCGUAGCUGGAUUGUUAAGUCUCUUGGGAAAUCCACCGGCUCAACCGAUGGGCGUUCAGGAGAAACUGGCAAUCUAGGGACCGGGAGAGGUGAGAGGUACUCCAGGGGUAGGAGUGAAAUCCUGUAAUCCUUGGGGGACCACCUGUGGCGAAGGCGUCUCACUAGAACGGCUCCGACAGUGAGGGACGAAAGCUGGGGGAGCAAACCGGAUUAGAUACCCGGGUAGUCCCAGCUGUAAACGAUGCGCGUUAGGUGUAUCGGUGACCACGAGUCAUCGAGGUGCCGAAGGGAAACCGUGAAACGU